rnacentral:lncRNA from 1 species
GGAGCACACUUUGAAUAACCGAGCUGUAGUCUCCACAUUAUUCAAUUCUGUGAUUGAGAUUGAUGUGGACUGUAUAAAUCGUAUUAAUAAUUUAUGGUUCACUUAUGCCAAAACCUGCCACAGAGCACAAAAGAUCACGACCGACGGCCACAGUGAGAGGUUCUGACUGUCAGCGAGAAAAAAGGCCGAUGAAUAAUACAGCAGAAAUGAUGUGAAACUAAUCUUGAUGUGAAACUAAUCUUUCGAAAUGUUGUGCUUUUCUUUGAGUGCAUGAGUUUUAUUUUUUCCAUAUACUGACGCUCAGUGCCCUGCUUUUCAAUUUAAGAAUUAGCAGAGAGUUUAAUGAUAAUUACUGUUAUAUGUAAAAACAGCAGAGCGUAAUGAGUGGCUUGGCUUGUUAAGUUGCUCGUAAAACAUUUUCUAAGUGUAAGAGACAUGAUUAUUAUAGAGCUUGUGUGAAUUGGUUAUUUUUUUUCCCCUUAGGAAAGAAGAAGAAGAACGGCAAGAUGGAAAUGUGCAAGGUGAAAGUGUGAAGAAGCAGGGGUCAAGUUUAAGGCGGAAGGAUGUGGUUCUGCCUUCAUGUGCGUACGUGAGCUCUGGCACGCUUCUGCUGCUGGUCUACGGGGCCGUAAACGUCUCGUCCUGGGACCGGAAGCUUCGAUGGAUUUCCAACAAAAAGCCAGACUUUCCCUCCCUUAGUUAGAUCUCAGUGACAAAAUGCUGUUGAAGCCUUCAGUUAUAUAUUGAUCAAGAACAUUUUAAAUAAUUAAUCCUUCUUCUGUAAAGGCAAAAGGUCACAGAAGUAUGAUGCUGUUAAAAUUAUAACCGUUCUGACUAGAUCAUCUGUAUUUUUGGAGUAAUUAGACUCUAGCAAAUGAGGGCAAUCUAAAUCUGGAUGUAAGCUCUCCAAUAUGCUUUUUAAUAUGUAGGAAGACUUAUACGUAACACACACGCGUACUUUAUUUGUAAUACGAUGCAAAUUCCUCUCCUCCUCAGCAAGGUCAGCGGUCAGAGUCAUGUGCCUCGGAGAGUAACCUUUUUACCUUUUACCUUGAAUUCACUUGGUCAGGUCCAAUGAUUUGGCUUUGUUCAGUAAAAAUAAAUCUCUAGCACCAUCUAUUGGACAAUAUUGUGCAAAACAGUUAGAAAUACACACCUGCACUGAUUUUCCAGCUAAAUUAAAGGGGCAUACCUCUUAUUUUCAGCCUGAAUCUGAAAAAGAGGAAUAUGGGAACACUCGUUCCUCAUUUCAUUGCACUAGCAACAUUUUCAGUUGAUUAAACCAACAACUGGUCCGACAUUGUCCCCAUCACCGUCUCUGCUCCUGACAACUCAAACUGUAACCUGUAAAAUGAGCAGGAAGAACAACUAAGCAGAUAUGGGCCAUGUAUCUCUUUCCACCAGUUCCUUGAGUCCAGCGUUGUUUUAAAAAAACAGCACCGCCUUA